GGGGAUGACUGGUUUCGACAGUUAUUCUGAAAUUGGUAAAGCAAGCCGAGAUAGCGGAGUCUCGUAAAACCGCUAAAUAAAAUAAAUGCUGAAUCACGUUCUGCAUUCGCACUAGCUGCUUAACAGUAGCACAAGUGCCCUCAGCAAAGCACUAGUCCUAAGUGGGCAGCUGAGUUUUAAAUAAAUAGGAUAAACCAAAAAGGUUGCAGCAGGAGACCUCAAGAUCCCGCCUUUGCAGUACCGUGGCUGGUAAAGCCUAAGCUUGUAGAAAAACAAUGGAUCCGUAACUGGACCGGGGUUCGAUUCCCCGCAUCUCCACUG
rnacentral:tmRNA from 1 species